CCCGCACAAGCGGUGGAGCAUGUGGUUUAAUUCGACGCAACGCGCAGAACCUUACCAGCCCUUGACAUGGGGUCGCGGGUACCAGAGACGGUACCCUUCAGUUCGGCUGGACCCCACACAGGUGCUGCAUGGCUGUCGUCAGCUCGUGUCGUGAGAUGUUGGGUUAAGUCCCGCAACGAGCGCAACCCUCAUCUUCAGUUGCCAGCGGUUAGGCCGGGCACUCUGAAGAAACUGCCGGUGACAAGCCGGAGGAAGGUGGGGAUGACGUCAAGUCCUCAUGGCCCUUAUGGGCUGGGCUACACACGUGCUACAAUGACGGUGACAACGGGAAGCGACAGGGCGACCUUGAGCUAAUCCCCAAAAGCCGUCUCAGUUCGGAUUGUACUCUGCAACUCGGGUGCAUGAAGGCGGAAUCGCUAGUAAUCGCGGAUCAGCACGCCGCGGUGAAUACGUUCCCGGGCCUU
rnacentral:rRNA from 1 species